GACGAACGCUGGCGGCGUGCCUAACACAUGCAAGUCGAACGAGGUCCAAGGAAGCUUGCUUCCUGACGACCUAGUGGCGAACGGGUGAGUAACACGUGAGAAACCUGCCUCGGAGUGGGGAAUAACUCGGGGAAACUCGAGCUAAUACCGCAUGUCUUCACAUGAUCGCAUGGUCGAGUGAAGAAAGAAUUUCGCUCUGAGAGGGUCUCGCGGCCUAUCAGCUUGUUGGUGGGGUAACGGCCCACCAAGGCAACGACGGGUAGCUGGUUUGAGAGAACGAUCAGCCACACUGGGACUGAGACACGGCCCAGACUCCUACGGGAGGCAGCAGUGGGGAAUCUUGCGCAAUGGGCGAAAGCCUGACGCAGCAACGCCGCGUGCGGGAUGACGGCCUUCGUGGUUGUAAACCGCUUUCAGCAGGGACGAAAAUGACGGUACCUGCAGAAGAAGCCCCGGCUAACUACGUGCCAGCCGCCGCAGUAA
rnacentral:rRNA from 1 species